CAGUCCACACCACCGCCUCCUUCCCUUGAAUGACCACAGAACCUAGACUCUUACACUCCAACUUCCACAGAGCAGCCAGUGGGCCCCCUAGAUGUCCAGCACCCAGAACAAUGCCUUGAAUAUAGUAAACGCUUAAGAAUUUCUGUGGAAGGGACACCUGGGUGGCUCAGCAGUUGAGCGUCUGCCUUUGGCUCAGGGUGUGAUCACCAAGUCCCAGGAUAGAGUCCUACAUCGGGCUCCCUGCAUGUUUCUCCCUCUGCUUGUGUCUCUGCCUCUCUCUGUGUCUCUGUCAUGAAUAAAUAAAAUCUUAAAAAAAAAAAUUCUGUGGAAGGAACGAACGACUCCAUCAAACUAUAUUGGUAUUUCGACCAAUUUCCACGGUGUGCAUAAUGGAACAACUCACUUUAUGCAUGUAAAAUUAGUAAAAUGAAAGGAAAUGUCCUCUCUGUGUAGUAACACAGGCACAGUGCUCAGACAUAUUAUUGCAUCUUUCUUUCCUUUCACAACUUAUUUUGGUUUCCAAAGUAUAUAUGCAACCUGAUCAUUGAUUUAGAACAUUCAGAUCAUAAACUGCCAUUCAUAAACAAUCUUUUAAAAUGCAAAACGUAGGUUUAGAGAAUAUGCUUCCCCUCGCCAGCACUGCAAGAUAAACGGAUGUCCAACUUCCACUAAUUUUAUUUGGUUUUCGAUAAGCUAAACCAAGUGCAAGGAACAUUUCAGAGCUGUUGAAUAGAGUCAACAUCUUUCAUCUUCGUGUCAGGUUUCUAAAGGACCCCCCAGAUUAUCCUCAAAAGGCCAUAUUUCCGCUAUUCUUCCCGAUAUAUACUAAAAACCGUGUAAAAUGUAUUUCUGCCUUAAUUUCAGACAGAAUGGGAGGACGCACCCUAUGUGCACUCAGGCUUGCAAAGCCACCGUCCCGUCACCUGCCUCUCCAGGCCCAGGCGGGCCGGGCCACUCGCAAAUGGCAAACGCUGGAGGCGAACGUGCUCGCCGCCGGGUCCGUCUCCGGCCAAGGGAGUAUCCUCAGGUGCCCGACGGAACUGCAGAGGCUCGGGCUGCUGUCAGGCACCGAGGGCCGACAACCGUCCCGCGAAACGUCUCUUCACUUGUGACACAUUGUAUAAGAAUGUGGUUAAGUGGAGACAAUGUUAUCAGCCCGCGGAGAGGAGGGGAAGCCCGCGCCGUGACCUCGGGCGCCCGCUGCGCAGCCCCGGCACCGCGGGGAACCGGCUGCGGGCAGUGAUGUGACAGCGAUUUCAGCUCCUUGAGCCCAAGCAGAACUUCAGCAUUUACAGCACGAAGAGCCGGUGAUCAUCUCUCCAUCCGUUCCACCUCCCAUUUUAAAAUAAGGAAACAUAUCAUCUGCUUUCCAGAAUCCCUGCAUUUUCUUCUGCUCCACACCACCCUAGGUAAAGUGCAAUUUGUCGUUAAAAAAAUAAAAAUAAAAAAUUAUACUUCCUCUCA
rnacentral:lncRNA from 1 species